rnacentral:lncRNA from 1 species
UGGAGACCCACCGGUCCAGGGGCAGAUGACGGCCUUGGACUGGGGCCUACCUCGGCUUCCCCAGCCCCACCGCCACCCACCCACGCACCCACCCAUGGCUUCCCCGGCCCCACCGCCAGCAGGUAGGAGCCCGGCCAGGAGACAGAGGGCAGAGGGGCGCUGAAGGGGCAGCAGCAAGUGGGUCCGGGCCCAGCUCCAGCCCCCACCAAUCACCCGGAGCGACCUCUCAGGACAGGUAGUAUGACAGCAGCGCAGCGGCCGGUCUGUGCCUUGUGGCCCACAAUCAGCCUCUAGGAUUGCAAGAGCAGGCCCAGCCUCGGAGAGCUCUCCCCCGCUGCCCGCGGGCUCGAUAAGACUGCGGGUGGUUAGAGAGAGAACAUAUCAUCCCACCAAACGAAGAGGUAAGCAGUGCGGCGCCGACCAUGAGCUCCUCCAAGGUUUCAGAAUUCAGGGAAGACUUCAAGGAAAAGAAAGAACUCCCAGGGCUGUCCACCCCCUUCUUGAUAAGCUGAAAAGUGCUGACAAAACAGGCAGUCCAGGCCAGUGAAGUGUAAAGGCUGUUUUAAGCUCCAGAAAGCUCCAGUCACCAAGGCAUAGCAGAGCACCGUGGAUGUGACCAUAUAACAUAUAUUCCAAGACCCAGCUCUUUUGAGAGGGAGGCAGCGCUAUUGAUAAUUACACCAGACAAGGGUAUGUCAUACCCUGGGACACAGAGGGAUGAGCUGGGUUCCAG